rnacentral:rRNA from 1 species
UAAUACGGAGGGUGCAAGCGUUGUCCGGAUUUAUUGGGUUUAAAGGGUGCGUAGGCGGGUUUAUAAGUCAGUGGUGAAAGUUUGCAGCUUAACUGUAAAAUUGCCAUUGAUACUGUAGAUCUUGAGUGCAGUCGAGGUGGUUGGAAUGCGUAGUGUAGCGGUGAAAUGCUUAGAUAUUACGCAGAACACCUAUAGCGAAGGCAGAUCGCCAGGCUGUAACUGACGCUGAGGCACGAAAGUGUGGGUAGCGAACAGGAUUAGAUACCCUGGUAGUCCACACUGUAAACGAUGGUUACUAGAUGUUCGUCCGUUGGGAUGAGUGUCUAAGCGAAAGCGAUAAGUAACCCACCUGGGGAGUACGUCCGCAAGGAUG